rnacentral:rRNA from 1 species
GACGAACGCUGGCGGCGUGCUUAACACAUGCAAGUCGAACGGAAAGGCCCUGCUUUUGUGGGGUGCUCGAGUGGCGAAAGGGUGAGUAACACGUGAGUAACCUGCCCUUGACUUUGGGAUAACUUCAGGAAACUGGGGCUAAUACCGGAUAGGAGCUCCUGCUGCAUGGUGGGGGUUGGAAAGUUUCGGCGGUUGGGGGUGGACUCGCGGGUUAUCAGCUUGUUGGUGGGGUAGUGGCUUACCAAGGCUUUGACGGGUAGCCGGCCUGAGAGGGUGACCGGCCACAUUGGGACUGAGGGAGGGCCCAGACUCCUACGGGGGGCAGCAGUGGGGAAUAUUGCACAAUGGGCGGAAGCCUGAUGCAGCAACGCCGCGUGCGGGAUGACGGCCUUCGGGUUAUAAACCGCUUUCGCCUGUGACGAAGCGUGAGUGACGGUAAUGGGUAAAGAAGCACCGGCUAACUACGUG